GUUCAUUCCUGAACAUAUACUAAAAUUGGAACAAUACAUAGAAGAUUAGCAUGGCCCCUGCGAAAGGAUGACAAGGUCUUCAAAGUCUGGAGUCACGACGCAAACUGUUU
rnacentral:snRNA from 1 species